UACGUAGGGGGCAAGCGUUGUCCGGAAUCAUUGGGCGUAAAGAGCGUGUAGGCGGCCAGAAAAGUCCGCUGUGAAAACUCGAGGCUCAACCUCGAGACGUCGGCGGAAACCAUCUGGCUAGAGUCCGGAAGAGGAGAGUGGAAUUCCUGGUGUAGCGGUGAAAUGCGCAGAUAUCAGGAGGAACACCGGUGGCGAAGGCGGCUUGCUGGGCCAGUUCUGACGCUGAGGAGCGAAAGCGUGGGGAGCGAACAGG
rnacentral:rRNA from 1 species